rnacentral:rRNA from 1 species
GACGAACGCUGGCGGCGUGCUUAACACAUGCAAGUCGAACGAUGACGACCGAGCUUGCUCGGUCUGAUUAGUGGCGAACGGGUGAGUAACACGUGAGCAACCUGCCCUUCACUCUGGGAUAACCUCGGGAAAUCGGGGCUAAUGCCGGAUAUGAGCUCCUGUCGCAUGGCGGGUGUUGGAAAGUUUUUCGGUGAAGGAUGGGCUCGCGGCCUAUCAGUUUGUUGGUGAGGUAGUGGCUCACCAAGGCGAUGACGGGUAGCCGGCCUGAGAGGGCGACCGGCCACACGGGGACUGAGACACGGCCAAGACUCCUACGGGAGGCAGCAGGGGGGAAUAGUGCACAAUGGGCGAAAGCCUGAUGCAGCGACGCCGCGUGAGGGAUGACGGCCUUCGGGUUGUAAACCUCUUUCAGCAGGGAAGAAGCGAAAGUGACGGUACCUGCAGAAGAAGCGCCGGCUAACUACG